UACGGCCACACCACCCUGAACGCGCCCGAUCUCGUCUGAUCUCGGAAGCUAAGCAGGGUCGGGCCUGGUUAGUACUUGGAUGGGAGAAGAAGCCUCUUCAACAAAAACUGCUGGGAAAACUGGUUAACCAUCU
rnacentral:rRNA from 1 species